rnacentral:tRNA from 1 species
UAAUAUGUAUUAUAAUAAAUAUUUUUAUUUUCCAAAUAAAUAAUCCUAAUUUAGGCGUGUUUA